rnacentral:lncRNA from 1 species
UUCACAAUCACAGCACCAUCUCCAAGAGCUGGAGCAACCACCGCCUUACAGCAGUAUCAUAAUAUCCCCAGGAAUUGAGGGGGCACAGCCUAGCCAACCAGAGAGGCCUGACACAGGCAGUCAGAAAAGGCGAGUGGGCUCAGAGGGGACAAUGACGCCCAGAGGAAACCCUGGAAGAGCUCUUCGACUUAGGGGUCCACGAGUUGUGUCCACUGCUCCUGAUCUGCAAAGCUUGAGGGUGGCCCCAAAACUGGAGCCUAAUACUCCACCCCCUGCCUAUGAAAUCGGUUUUGCUCACCCUGAUGAUGACAGUGUUUUCUAUGAAGAUAAAUGGAUACUUCCCUAAGCGAUGCUCUCAGAACCUAUCACCUGUGAACUCAUUUGCCCAGCAUUUCCUAAUAUCUAUUGAAUCAGAAGUUGGUUUUGCCCAAACAUCACAAUUGAUGCCUUCAAAGCAGUGGGGAGUUGGGCUCCGGAAUGUCCUUCACAGUCGAGAUAUAAAUGGCAUACCUGGAUUCUUCUGGAAACAUUCUGGAGCCUACCUGACGAGCAGUACUUCCAGCGUAAGGUGGAAGAAGAGAGAGAUAAGUUACCAAGAGAAGCUGGAGGGGUACCUCGGAGUGACAGUUGUGUUUCUUCUACUGCAGACACCAAGUCUCGCUGAGAUUCCUGAUGGGGAUGAGAGAUUCUAAGGGUGAGGGGAGCUGAAAAGUUUGCGCAAGAACGGGAUGCUAGUAAAAACAUAAAAAUAACUCGAAUCGAAUCCCAA